GACGAACGCUGGCUGCUUGCUUCACACUUGCAAGUCGAACGUCAAGGCCCUGCUUUUUUGGGGUGCUCGAGUGGCGAACGUUUGCGUAACCCUUGAGUCACCUGCCCUUCCCUUUGGGAUCACUUCAGGCCACUGUCGCUAAUACCGGAUUGGAGCUCCUGCUGCAUGGUGUGGGUUGUAACGUUUCGGCGGUUGGGUCUGGACUCGCGGCUGAUCAGCUUGUUGGUGGGGUAGUGGCUUACCAAGGCUUUGACGGGUAGCCGGCCUGAGAGGGUGACCGGCCAGAUAGGGACUGAGAGACGGCCAAGACACUUACGGGAGGAAGAAGGGGGGAAUAUUGAACAAUGGGCGGAAGCCGGAUGCAGCAACGCCGCGUGCGAGAUGACGGACUUAGGGGUGUAAACCGAUUUAGAAUGUGACGAAGCGUGAGGGACGAUAAUGGGGAAAGAAGGACCGCCAAAAUACGUA
rnacentral:rRNA from 1 species